rnacentral:rRNA from 1 species
ACUGAGCGACUUUACUUUCGCUUUCACUUUCACGCUUUGGAGAAGGAAAUGGCAACCCUCCAGUGUUCUUGCCUGGAGAAUCCCAGGGAUGGGGAAGUCUGGUGAGCUAUCUAUGGAGCUGCACAGAGUCGGACACGACUGAAGCAACUUAGCAGCAGCAACAGCAGUAAGGUAAGAGACAGAUUAAGAAUUCAAACCCAGAUCUGUACCAAUCCAUAUCUCUGUUCUCAGUUAAUUCCAGAGAUGUGUUUUUCAUAAAUCUGAGAAGGAUUUUUAUCCCUCUUAAAAUGUAGGUGGUGUGUAUGAGAGAUUCUCACACAUCCUGAACAGUGGCACAGAGACUAGGCAGAGAUCUAACCUACUAAAAACAGAAGCUAAAAACCAGGUAAGGUUUUAAAAACAGCAACAAUUUUAACAGUUACCUUUUUAUUUACUUAAAACUAAGAGGAGAACAGCAAAAAACAGACUAAUAGAACCCACACAAUUACCAAAUGUAGGCAAAGACCAGCUCUGUAGAAACUGUGUGAAAAGCAGGCACCCCCGGCCCCGGGCGGACUGUCCCCAGUGCGCCCUGGGGAGGUCAUACCAUCGAGCCAGAGGGUUGUUUUUCGGUCACGCACGGUCGGGGAAGUGAGCACACAGGGGUUAGCAGCGAUGUCAGCCACCCACCCGACCUGUCUAGAAACAAGGACAAAGGAGUCUAACACGUGCAUGAGUCAGGAGCUCGCACGAAAGCCGCCGUGGUGCAAUGAAGGUGAAGGCCGCCUUAGUCAGCAGCCAAGGUAGGAUCCCGAGGCCUCUCCAGUCUGCCAAGGGUCAACUACUGGCCUCUCUCGCCCGCCGCGCUGGGGAGGUGGAGCAUGGUCACACGUGUUAGGACCUGAAAGAUGGUGAACUAUGCCUGGGCAGGAUGAAGGCAGAGGAAACUCUGGUGGAGGAUCAUAGCAAUCCUGACGUGCAAAUCGGUUGUCUGACCUGGGUAUAGGGGCGAAAGACCAAUCAAACCAUAGAGUUGCUUGUUCCCUCCUAAGUUUCCCUCAGGAUAGCUGGCGCUCUCUCAAUGAACCCAUGCAGUUUUAUCCAGUAAAGUGAAUGAUUAGAGGUCUUGGAGCAGAAACGAUCCCAACUUAUUCUCAAACUUUAAAUGGGUAAGAAACCUGGCUCCCUGGUGUGGAGCCAGAUGUAGAAUGCGAGUGCAUACUGGGCCAUUUUUGGUACGCAGAACUGGUGCUGUGGGAUGAACGGGAUGCUGGGUUAAGGAGCCUGAUACUGACACUCAUCAGAUCCCAGAAAAGGUGUUGGUUGAUAUAGACAGCAGGACGGUGGCCAUGGAAGUCAGAAUCCACUAAGGAGUGUGUAACAACUCACCUGCCCAAUCAACUAGCCCUGAAAAAUGAUGGCGCUGGAGCGUUGGGCCCAUACCUGUCCAUAGCCAGCAGUCGGAGAGGCUCAAGAGGGAUGGGAGCUCGGGAAGGAGGUCACCCCUCCCCCACCCCACCCCCAUGGAUGGUAUGCCGCGAUGAGUAGGAGGUCCGAUGCAGUGAGCCUUGAAGCCUAGGACGUGGGCCCGGGUCGAGCCGCUGCAGGUGCAGAUCUUGGUGGUAGUAGCAAAUAUUCAAAUGAGAACUUUGAAGGCAGAAGUGGAAAAGGGUUCCAUGUGAAUAGCAGUUGAACAUGGGUCAGUCUGUCCUGAGAUAUGGGCAAGCACCAUUCCAAAAGGAUGGUCGACGGCCUCCGUUGCCCUCAGCCAAUCGAAAGGGAGUCGGGUUCAGAUCCCCAAAUCCGGAGUGGCAGAGAUGGACGCCGUGAGGCUUCCAGUGCAAUAAUGCAACCGAUCCCAGGGAAGCCUGUGGGAGCCCCGAGGAGAGUUCUCUUUUCUUUGUGAAGGGCAGGGCGUCCUGGUAGAAUUAGUGAGUAUAAGGUGUAGAAUAAGUGAGAGGCCCCUGGCGGGCCGCCCCACCCCCGCGUUUCUUGCGAGGGGGCGGGGCGGGAUCCUACAGCCUUGUGGGCAGCCAGUGAAAUACCACUACUUUGAUCCUUUAUUUUCCACUGACACAGUGAGGCGUGGGGAGGGGUCGGGGGUCGGGGGGCAUCCCCGAGGGGUUCUCACUUCUGGAGCCAAGCACCUGCACAACCGGCUCUGGGGACAGUGCCAGGUGGGGAGUUUGACGGGGGCGGUACACCUGUCAAAUGGUAAUGCAGGUGAGCGUUACCAAUAAGGUGAGCUCAGGGAGGACAGAAACCUCGCAUGGUGCAGAAGGGCAAAAGCUCGCUUGAUCUUGAUUUUUAGUACAAAUACAGACCAUGAAAGCGGGGCCUCACGAUCCUUCUGACCUUUGGGGUUUUAAGCAGGAGGUGUCAGAAAAGUUCAAUUCAGUUCAGUUCAGUCGCUCAGUCUUGUUUGACUCUUUUCGACCCCAUGAAUUGCAGCACACCAGACCUCCCUGUCCAUCACCAACUCCUGGAGUUCACUCAGAUUCACGUCCAUCGAGUCUGUGAAGCCAUCCAGCCAUCUCAUCCUCAGUCGUCCCCUUCUCCUCCUGAGCCCAAUCCCUCCCAACAUCAGAGUCUUUUCCAAUGAGUCAGCUCUUUGCAUGAGGUGGCCAAAGUACUGGAGUUUCAGCUUUAGCAUCAUUCCUUCCAAAGGAAUCACAGGGCUGAUCGCCUUCAGAAUGGACUGGUUGGAUCUCCUUGCAGUCCAAGGGACUAUCAAGAGUCUUCUCCAACACCACAGUUCAAAAGCAUCAAUUCUUCGGCGCUCAGCCUUCUUCACAGUCCAACUCUUACAUCCAUACAUGACCACUGGAAAAACCAUAGCCU